rnacentral:rRNA from 1 species
AGUGAACGCUGGCGGUAGGCCUAACACAUGCAAGUCGAACGGCAGCACAGUAAGAGCUUGCUCUUACGGGUGGCGAGUGGCGGACGGGUGAGGAAUACAUCGGAAUCUACUUUUUCGUGGGGGAUAACGUAGGGAAACUUACGCUAAUACCGCAUACGACCUACGGGUGAAAGCAGGGGAUAUUCGGACCUUGCGCGAUUGAAUGAGCCGAUGUUGGAUUAGCUAGUUGGCGGGGUAAAGGCCCACCAAGGCGGCGAUCCGUAGCUGGUCUGAGAGGAUGAUCAGCCACACUGGAACGUAGACACGGUCCAGACUCCUACGGGAGGCAGCAGUGGGGAACAUUAGACAAUGGGCGCAAGCCUGAUCCAGCCAUACCGCGUGGGUGAAGAAGGCCUUCGGGUUGUAAAGCCCUUUUGUUGGGAAAGAAAAGCAGCAGGUUAAUACCCCGCUGUUCUGACGGUACCCAAAGAAUAAGCACCGGCUAACUUCGUG